GCUAUCGGCCAUACCACGUUGAAUACGCCGGUUCUCCUCCGAUCACCGAAGCUAAGCAACGUUGGGCCCGGGUAGUACUUGGAAGGGAGACCGCCUGGGAACAUCGGGUGUUGAUACCA
rnacentral:rRNA from 1 species